UGCAGUCGAGCGGACAGAUGGGAGCUUGCUCCCUGAUGUUAGCGGCGGACGGGUGAGUAACACGUGGGUAACCUGCCUGUAAGACUGGGAUAACUCCGGGAAACCGGGGCUAAUACCGGAUGGUUGUCUGAACCGCAUGGUUCAGACAUAAAAGGUGGCUUCGGCUACCACUUACAGAUGGACCCGCGGCGCAUUAGCUAGUUGGUGAGGUAACGGCUCACCAAGGCGACGAUGCGUAGCCGACCUGAGAGGGUGAUCGGCCACACUGGGACUGAGACACGGCCCAGACUCCUACGGGAGGCAGCAGUAGGGAAUCUUCCGCAAUGGACGAAAGUCUGACGGAGCAACGCCGCGUGAGUGAUGAAGGUUUUCGGAUCGUAAAGCUCUGUUGUUAGGGAAGAACAAGUGCCGUUCAAAUAGGGCGGCACCUUGACGGUACCUAACCAGAAAGCCACGGCUAACUACGUGCCAGCAGCCGCGGUAAUACGUAGGUGGCAAGCGUUGUCCGGAAUUAUUGGGCGUAAAGGGCUCGCAGGCGGUUUCUUAAGUCUGAUGUGAAAGCCCCCGGCUCAACCGGGGAGGGUCAUUGGAAACUGGGGAACUUGAGUGCAGAAGAGGAGAGUGGAAUUCCACGUGUAGCGGUGAAAUGCGUAGAGAUGUGGAGGAACACCAGUGGCGAAGGCGACUCUCUGGUCUGUAACUGACGCUGAGGAGCGAAAGCGUGGGGAGCGAACAGGAUUAGAUACCCUGGUAGUCCACGCCGUAAACGAUGAGUGCUAAGUGUUAGGGGGUUUCCGCCCCUUAGUGCUGCAGCUAACGCAUUAAGCACUCCGCCUGGGGAGUACGGUCGC
rnacentral:rRNA from 1 species